rnacentral:rRNA from 1 species
CCACCGAAUACAUUAGCAUGGGAUAAUGGAAUAGGACCCUGUCCUCCUAUUUUCAGUUGGUUUUGGCAGCGCGAGGACUAGGGUAAUGAUUAAUAGGGAUAGUUGGGGGCAUUAAUAUUUAAUUGUCAGAGGUGAAAUUCUUGGAUUUAUGAAAGAUUAACUUCUGCGAAAGCAUCUGCCAAGGAUGUUUUCAUUAAUCAAGAACGAAAGUUAGGGGAUCGAAGACGAUCAGAUACCGUCGUAGUCUUAACCAUAAACGAUGCCGACCAGCGAUUAGGAGACGUUGAAUACAAAACACCACCAUCGGCGCGGUCGUCCUUGGCGUGUCUCGGCUUCACGGCUGGGGCGCGCGAGGGCGGUUUAGCCCGGUGGCACCGGUGAAUGACUCCCU